rnacentral:tRNA from 1 species
GGAGACGUGGGUGAGUGGCUGAAACCACCGGUUUGCUAAACCGACAGUCUGGGAAACUGGGCUCGGGGGUUCGAAUCCCCCCGUCUCCGCCA